GGAAAAUGCACUGUCAAAAUGUCAAUUUCAGGCUUAUGAUGAUAGGGUCAGCCAGCUAGAAUCAUCUUUGAAUAAGUCAUAUUUGAAGAAUUCAGAGCUUGAGCAGGAGCUACAAAGUCUUUCAGAAAAAUGUGAAGAACAUGCGGGACGGGCUACUGAAACACAUCAACGCAGUCUCGAACUGGAAGAACUUAUUCAUCUAUCACAUUCCAAAGCAGAGGAUGCUGGAAGUAAAGUGAGUGAAUUGGAACUAUUGCUGGAAAC
rnacentral:misc_RNA from 1 species